UCCAUAUUGAUCGCCAAAGCCGCGAGAGAUUUUUUCUUUUUCGCGCAUUCUCCUCGGCCUGGAAAAAUCUGAGUUUGGUCGCGCUGGUCGUGCCACAAAUGUGUCGCGACGCGGAAGUCUGGGACCUGGACCGGGGUAGUGAAACUUCACUUUUCUCUCCUUUAACAGAAACUUUUGGCGGUAUUUGAAAAUAGGGUACAAAUUUGGAGGGGUCCAUACUGCACCCUACCAGCGGUAAUUCCGGCAGGAGCAUCUAGAAUUUCCAUUUUUGAGAACAAAUUGCGGAUCCUCAAAAAAAACUUUGAACAUGUGGAUUUUGUUUUGCUCGAUCAAGUUUUGUUUUAGAUAAUAACGCCUGAAAAUAUGAAAUAUACUCAUUUUAAUCUAAAUUAUCGGCGCAAAUAUUUAGGACAACGCGGUGGCAAGAGUUAGUCAAAAAGCGUUUUUUGAAUUUCGCUCCUCAAUAAUAAGGAUUAUAUGGGAGCCACAGAAACUUUUCAAAAGAAAUAAAAAAAUUUCAGCAAAAAUAUCGUGAAAUAGGAAACUCUUGGGUAAGGAGGCUUUGAAUUCCAAAAUGGGUAUUCAAAUAAACAGAUUUGGUGAUAUAUUCAUGAUCCUCAUUUGUAUCAUUUCGAAUAGAACACUGGCUGUCCGAUGGUGUUUGUGCACAUGAGAAUGGGCAACUACUAUCACAAAAUCAUGAUUGCACAAAAUAGCGUCAAUAUUUACGAUAAGACGGACUACGUACAGCAAGCCUUCAGAAAUGCAUCCAUCACGUACCAGACUUCAACUAUAUUUGUCUUGGGUCAUACGAACAAAGAUGUGCUCAAUUUUUUCGAGACUCACUCCAGAGAAUAGAAUUCGAUGGACUCAACAUUAUUUUUGCCAGUCAAGAACGAAGCAUCCUUAUAAAGGACCCCUUGAAAUUUGCAGCGAUAGACAUGGCGCUACUAUCUAUGGCCGAUGUACUAAUCAUGACUGUGGGAACUUAUGGAGAAUCAGGGGCUCUUCUUGGAAGGGAGAAACAAGCAGUUUAUUUGCCAGACUAUUAUGGAUACACCUAUAGUAAAACUAUAAAUAACAGCAAAUUCAUUCGAAUUCCCUUUAAGCAAUGGUAAUGAUAAAACAUUGCUUGAUCAUCAUAAUUAGAACAAAAGUUAACAGGUU